rnacentral:rRNA from 1 species
AACAGGAUUAGAUACCCUGGUAGUCCACGCCGUAAACUAUGGAUGCUAGCUGUUAUCGGUAUCGACCCCGAUAGUAGCGAAGCUAACGCGUUAAGCAUCCCGCCUGUGGAGUACGGUCGCAAGACUAAAACAUAAAGGAAUUGACGGGGACCCGCACAAGCGGUGGAGCGUGUUGUUUAAUUCGAUGGUAAGCGAAGAACCUUACCCAGGCUUGACAUCCUUGGAAUUUCUCCGAAAGGAGAGAGUGCCUUUGGAACCAAGUGACAGGUGUUGCUUGGCCGUCGUCAGCUCGUGUCGUGAGAUGUUUGGUUAAGUCCAUCAACGAGCGCAACCCUUGUGAGUAGUUGAAUUUUUCUACUCAAACUGCCCUGGCAACAGGGAGGAAGGGGGGGAUGAUGUCAGGUCAGUAUUACCCUUACGUCUGGGGCUACAAACACGCUACAAUGGCCGGUACAAAGGGCUGCCAAGUCGCGAGACGGGGCAAAUCCCAUCAAAGCCGGUCCAAGUUCGGAUAGCAGGCUGAAACUCGCCUGCUUGAAGCUGGAAUCGCUAGUAACGGUAGGUCAGCACACUGCCGUGAAUACGUUCCCGGGUCUUGUACACACCGCCCGUCAAACCAUGAAAGUCGCCAAUACCUGACGUCUCAGCUUCGUCUGGGCCUAAGGUAGGGGAGAUGAUUGGGGUUAAGUCGUAACAAGGUAACC